rnacentral:rRNA from 1 species
CUACGGGACGCUGCAGUGGGGGAUAUUGCGCAAUGGGGGAAACCCUGACGCAGCAAUGCCGCGUGAAGGAAGAAGGUCUUCGGAUUGUAAACUUUUGUCUUCAGGGACGAAACAAAUGACGGUACCUGAGGAGGAAGCCACGGCUAACUACGUGCCAGCAGCCGCGGUAAUACGUAGGUGGCAAGCGUUGUCCGGAUUUACUGGGUGUAAAGGGCGUGUAGGCGGGAUUGUAGGUCAGAUGUGAAAUACCCGGGCUUAACCCGGGGGCUGCAUUUGAAACCACAGUUCUUGAGUGCUGGAGAGGGAAGCGGAAUUCCUAGUAUAGCGGUGAAAUGCGUAGAUAUUAGGAGGAACACCAGUGGCGAAGGCGGCUUUCUGGACAGUAACUGACGCUGAGGCGCGAAAGCGUGGGGAGCAAACAGGAUUAGAUACCCCCGUAGUC